CGAGAAGACCCUUUGGAGCUUAAGGUACAAAACUCAACCACGUUAAACAACUCUAUAAAAAGCAGCUUAAACCUUGUGGAUACUGAGACCAUACCUUCGGUUGGGGCGACCACGGAGGAAAAUAAAGCCUCCAAGUGGACUAGGGCCAACCCCCUAAAACUAAGAGAGACAUCUCUAAGCAACAGAACAUCUGACCAUACAUGAUCCGGCUAACCCAGCCGAUCAACGAACCAAGUUACCCUAGGGAUAACAGCGCAAUCCCCUCCCAGAGACCAUAUCGACGAGGGGGUUUACGACCUCGAUGUUGGAUCAGGACAUCCUAAUGGUGCAGCCGCUAUUAAGGGUUCGUUUGUACAACGAUUUAUGUCCUACGAGAUCUGAGUUCAGACCGAAAUCGCCUGUUUAUCAAAAACAUAUGCGUGAUCUGAUUUCAGACCGGACCGCCUGUUUUUCAAAAACAUAGGUGUGGU
rnacentral:rRNA from 1 species